CUGGCGGCAGGCCUAAUACAUGCAAGUCGAGCGCGCCCUUCGGGGUGAGCGGCGGACGGGUGAGUAACGCGUGGGAAUAUGCCCUUCUCUAAGGAAUAGCCUCUGGAAACGGAGAGUAAUACCUUAUACGCCCUUUGGGGGAAAGAUUUAUCGGAGAAGGAUUAGCCCGCGUUAGAUUAGGUAGUUGGUGGGGUAAUGGCCUACCAAGCCUACGAUCUAUAGCUGGUUUGAGAGGAUGAUCAGCCACACUGGGACUGAGACACGGCCCAGACUCCUACGGGAGGCAGCAGUAGGGAAUCUUAGACAAUGGGGGCAACCCUGAUCUAGCCAUGCCGCGUGUGUGAUGAAGGCCCUAGGGUCGUAAAGCACUUUCGCCAGAGAUGAUAAUGACAGUAUCUGGUAAAGAAACCCCGGCUAACUCCGUGCCAGCAGCCGCGGUAAUACGGAGGGGGUUAGCGUUGUUCGGAAUUACUGGGCGUAAAGCGCACGUAGGCGGAUUAGUAAGUUAGAGGUGAAAUCCCAGGGCUCAACCCUGGAACUGCCUUUAAUACUGCUAGUCUUGAGUUCGAGAGAGGUAAGUGGAAUUCCGAGUGUAGAGGUGAAAUUCGUAGAUAUUCGGAGGAACACCAGUGGCGAAGGCGGCUUACUGGCUCGAUACUGACGCUGAGGUGCGAAAGUGUGGGGAGCAAACAGGAUUAGAUACCCUGGUAGUCCACACCGUAAACGAUGAAUGCCAGACGUCAGCAAGUAUACUUGUUGGUGUCACACCUAACGGAUUAAGCAUUCCGCCUGGGGAGUACGGUCGCAAGGUUAAAACUCAAAUGAAUUGACGGGGCCCGCACAAGCGUGGAGCAUGUGGUUUAAUUCGAU
rnacentral:rRNA from 1 species